rnacentral:rRNA from 1 species
AACGAACGCUGGCGGCAUGCCUAACACAUGCAAGUCGAACGAAGCCUUCGGGCUUAGUGGCGCACGGGUGCGUAACGCGUGGGAAUCUGCCCUUGGGUUCGGAAUAACAGUUAGAAAUGACUGCUAAUACCGAAUGAUGUCUUCGGACCAAAGAUUUAUCACCCAAGGAUGAGCCCCGCGUCGGAUUAGCUAGUUGGUGAGGUAAAGGCUCACCAAGGCGACGAUCCGUAGCUGGUCUGAGAGGAUGAUCAGCCACACUGGGACUGAGACACGGCCCAGACUCCUACGGAGGCAGC